GCCCUUGUAAUAUAAAACAAUAUACCGGUCUUGUAAAUCGGAAACGGAAACCUCUCUCCCCAGGGCA
rnacentral:tRNA from 1 species